UGGUCGCCAUUUUGUAUUAUAUUUCCCCAUAUAAAAUGCAUAGAUGCUUCAAUAAAGUUUAAUUUUCUCAUAAACCUGACCAGUUUUCUAAUAAAAUUGAGAAUGGAAAUGGGGAAUGUGCCAAAGAGAUAACAACCCGACCAUAGAAAAAAAAAAACAACAGCAGAAGGUCACCAACAGGUCUUCAAUGUAGCGAGAAAUUCCCGCACCCGGAGGCGUCCUUCAGCUGGCUCCUAAACAAAUAUAUACUAGUUCAGUGAUAAUGAACGCCAUACUAAUUUCCAAAUUGUACACAAGAAACUAAAAUUAAAAUAAUACAAGACUAACAAAGGCCAGAGGCUCCUGACUAGGGACAGGCGCAAAAAUGCGGCGGGGUUAAACAUGUUUGUGAGAUCUCAACCCUCCCCCUAUCAUGACCUCUAGCCAAUGUAGAAAAGUAAAAUUCUAAGUUUUGCAAAUCAAUCCUUGAUAUUCAAACAUAUCUUUAUCAAACAAUGUUGGUCCUAACAGUUUAAUUUUUGAUUAAAGUCGGUCAUUUUAGAC
rnacentral:lncRNA from 1 species